AUUGAACGCUGGCGGCAGGCCUAACACAUGCAAGUCGAACGAGUGGCGGACGGGUGAGUAAUGUCUGGGAAACUGCCUGAUGGAGGGGGAUAACUACUGGAAACGGUAGCUAAUACCGCAUACCAUCGGAUGUGCCCAGAGGGGAUUAGGUGGUGGGGGGGGAAAAGGCUCACCAAGGCGACGAUCCCUAGCUGGGCGGAGAGGAUGACCAGCAACACUGGAACUGAGAACCGGUCCAGCCUCCUACGGGAGGCAGCAGUGGGGAAUAUUGGACAAUGGGGGCAAGCCUGAUGCAGCCAGGCGGGGGGUAUGAAGAAGGCCUUCGGGUUGUAAAGUACGUUCAGCGGGGAGGCGUUACCCGCAGAAGAAGCACCGGCUAACUCCGUGCCAGCAGCCGCGGUAAUUC
rnacentral:rRNA from 1 species